AAUUGCAGGUCCUGCCUCAAGAGGUAGCCACCGAAUCUCAGAAAAAGAAAAAUGACCUUGAGACUUGAGACGGCAUAACCUGGUGGAAAUAAUCUUAGAGUGAGAGGACAUAAUUUUCUCCUUCCAAUUUCCCCUUCUGGCUAAGAUAAAAUGGAUAAAUGGGGGGGAAAAAAAAACCCAGAAAAUUUGUGGCUAGGAGACCUGCAUAACAAGAAAUGUUUUUUAAAAAUGUCAGUCCUUAAAUGGAAGGAAAAAAAGUGAUGAAAACUUGGAUCU